AGUGAACGCUGGCGGUAGGCCUAACACAUGCAAGUCGAACGGCAGCACAGUAAGGGCUUGCUCUUACGGGUGGCGAGUGGCGGACAGGUGAGGAAUACAUCGGAAUCUACUUUUUCGUGGGGGAUAACGUAGGGAAACUUACGCUAAUACCGCAUACGACCUACGGGUGAAAGCAGGGGAUCUUCGGACCUUGCGCGAUUGAAUGAGCCGAUGUCGGAUUAGCUAGUUGGCGGGGUAAAGGCCCACCAAGGCGACGAUCCGUAGCUGGUCUGAGAGGAUGAUCCGCCAAACUGGAACUGAGAAACGGUCCAGACUCCUAAGGGAGGCAGCAGUGGGGAAUAUUGGACAAUGGGCGCAAGCCUGAUCCAGCCAUACCGCGUGGGUGAAGAAGGCCUUCGGGUUGUAAAGCCCUUUUGUUGGGAAAGAAAAGCAGCAGGUUAAUACCCCGCUGUUCUGACGGUACCCAAAGAAUAAGCACCGGCUAACUUCGUG
rnacentral:rRNA from 1 species